ACGAUGAAGCCUAGCUUGCUAGGUGGAUUAGUGGCGAACGGGUGAGUAAUACGUGAGUAACCUACCUUUAACUCUGGGAUAAGCCUGGUGAAACUGGGUCUAAUACCGUGAUACGAGCCAAUCUCCGCAUGGGGUGUUGGAUGGAAAGCGUUAUGUAGUGGUUAUAGAUGGGCUCACGGCCUAUCAGCUUGUUGGUGAGGUAACGGCUCACCAAGGCGACGACGGGUAGCCGGCCUGAGAGGGUGACCGGCCACACUGGGACUGAGACACGGCCCAGACUCCUACGGGAGGCAGCAGUGGGGAAUAUUGCACAAUGGGCGCAAGCCUGAUGCAGCGACGCCGCGUGAGGGAUGACGGCCUUCGGGUUGUAAACCUCUGUUAGCAGGGAAGAAGAGAAAUUGACGGUACCUGCAGAGAAAGCGCCGGCUAACUACGUGCCAGCAGCCGCGGUAAUACGUAGGGCGCGAGCGUUGUCCGGAAUUAUUGGGCGUAAAGAGCUUGUAGGCGGUUUGUCGCGUCUGCUGUGAAAGGCCGGGGCUUAACUCCGUGUAUUGCAGUGGGUACGGGCAGACUAGAGUGCAGUAGGGGAGACUGGAACUCCUGGUGUAGCGGUGGAAUGCGCAGAUAUCAGGAAGAACACCGAUGGCGAAGGCAGGUCUCUGGGCU
rnacentral:rRNA from 1 species